rnacentral:tRNA from 1 species
GCCAAGUGCAGGUGGAGAGCACGUCGUUAACGGACUUGUAAAGCGGGGGUCGUCGGUUCGAACCCGACAGGGGGCUCCA